UACGUAGGGGGCAAGCGUUGUCCGGAAUCAUUGGGCGUAAAGAGCGUGUAGGCGGCCUGAUAAGUCGGCUGUGAAAGUCAAGGGCUCAACCCUUGAAUGCCGGCCGAUACUGUCAGGCUAGAGUCCGGAAGAGGCGAGUGGAAUUCCUGGUGUAGCGGUGAAAUGCGCAGAUAUCAGGAGGAACACCAAUAGCGAAGGCAGCUCGCUGGGACGUUACUGACACUGAGGCGCGAAAGCGUGGGGAGCGAACAGG
rnacentral:rRNA from 1 species